rnacentral:lncRNA from 10 species
GUUUUGUUUUGUUUUGUUUAAACCACAGGUUUGAUCUCAGUUACUCCCUUACUUGAAGAAGGCUUCGAUGAUUCCUCAUGGAGAAAUCCCAGAUACUUCUGCACAUGAUUCAGAGGUCCCUUACAACUGGCUUCAGCCUGCCUUCCAAGCCCUGUCUCUCGCCUCUCCCUUCCUUCACACUGUGCUUCAGCGAGAUGCUGUGUUUUUUGCAAAUGGACGGUUUGGGCAACUCUUUGUGGAGCAAGUCUAUCGGUGCCAUUUUCCCAACAACAUGGAUUCACUUCAUGUCUCUGAGUCACAUUUUGGUAAUUUUC